GACUGGUUGGCGCAACGGUAGCGCGUUCGACUCCAGACAGUUCUUAAUUUGGCUGUUAGCAAUCGAAAGGCUAGGCGUUCAAAUCGCCUACUGGUCA